ensembl:lncRNA
GCACAGAGAGCUUUCAGGAAGAUGGCUUGUCAAAAAUCCUUUCUUGCCCAUUCAGGUGAUUCUAGGAAAUAGAGCAAGUCUACUUUGUAGACAUAGUGGUGAGAGAAGGACAUAGAGAUGCCAACUCCUGUUACUCACUUCUCGCCCUGGUUCCAUGGAAGGACACUCCCGGUUCCAGGCCUUCUGUUUUUACCUUACUCUUGGUAGUAGGGAAUUUGAAAGGCAAAUUUCAUUUCCAGAGAACCCAUGGGGCAAUGAGCUAAGGACCGGGUCUCAUGCCCUGUUUGCCUUGCGCUGCUCCUGUCCUGACUUCCUGCUUCCCAAGAUUCAUACAGAAGAAAUGGAGCAUAUUUAGCUUAUUUUUUCUGAAAACCUAGUCAGUGACAGACCCAGUUGGCUCACCACUCAAUUUUGCCUAAAGAGUCAGGAAGUAAGAGAUACUUUGUCAACUUUUCUCUUUAUUGAGUCUUGCUGAACAGUGCUUUUGCUGUGUGAUUAUUGCACAUUUAAAUCCAACUCUACUAAUUACCUGAACCUAACCUCAUGCAAAGAGUUGACUCAUUGGAAAAGACUCUGAUGCUGGGAAGGAUUGGGGGCAGGAGGACAAGGGGAUGACAGAAGAUGAGAUGGCUGGAUGGCAUCGCUGACUCAAUGGACGUGAGUCUGAGUGAACUCCGGGAGUUGGUGAUGGACAGGGAGGCCUGGCGUGCUGCGAUUCAUGGGAUCGCAAAGAGUCGGACACGACUGAGCAACUGAACUGAACUGAAGUAGGGUGUGACUUUUUAACCUAAAUUAAUCAUAUAAUAUUCUUUAGACUAUCUUACACUUUUACAAGCUGAUCUUUGCUGUCUUUUUUCCUUGUUUCUGACAGAUGUCAUGUUUGGGUUCUAUUUUCUCCUUUCCAGUCCUAGGUCUAAUUCGGGCCCAUUAUCUUCAGGAGCCUUUUAAGUUAUCCUCUCAUCCAUCCGAAGGACUCCUACUCAUUCUUCAUGCUGCUGUUGGCAUUAAUCUUCUUAAGAAUUGAAGUUUACUAUUAAUUGCCAAGAAGGACAUAAAAGAGGUGUGGUGGAAGGGUCUGCCAGAACCAGAGGCUAAGCACACAGCAGUGUAAAACAAAUUCUUUAUUCCAGCUUCCAGAAUGCAUCCUCUUCAGCCUUUCCUGUUCAUUGGACUAAAGCUGUUAAGCAAUGGUGUCAAGAACCGUCAUCCACUGGUUGAAGCUCAGUACAAAACCAGGAAGCAGGCGGGUUUAGAUCCAGUAGGAACAACUUGACUCAGAUCUUCGCACUUUCACUAAGGAGGGUCGGGGGUGAGGAGACAACAUUUACAUUUGUACUGAAGCUGAUCUGAUGUGAUUGUGACAGUUUUCCAGUCAGUAUUUGUUUAUCUUAAUUUAGUCGCGUGUUAAAAAUGUGAGGGUCAAAUUUACUUCCUUUCAAGGCCACUUGGCGUACACGUCUUGUAGUCUUUGGAAGGGAUGGCAAGGAAACAGCCAUGCUUUAAUGAUGGGAUUAGAUGUUGAUGAAAGCUAGGUGUAAUAGUAGAAACAUUUUAUUGUAUAUUUUUAUUCCAAAGUAAGUGCAGUGUUAUUAUAUUUAGAUAAAUGUUCAGUGAUAAGCCAGAAAUCUUACACAUACAUUGCUGAAGACAUUUUCCCUCUGGAUUUAAUAAAAUUCUGGUACACAGAGGUACAAAAUGUAAUUCAUAAAUGUAAUGAAAACCCUAGAAAACGCUUCCCGCAUGCUUUCCUUCCCUCCCCUCCCCUCCUGUCCCUUUCCUCCUCUUCUCCAGCCCACUCUCCAGUCUUGCUUGCCUUCAUUGCUGGGGGAAAAAAAAAAAGAGCAGGUGAGCACAUAAUUAGGUUGUCACUUUUAAACUCUGGAUUAGUGGGACAUCCUGGAAGACCUCCCUCAACUGCAGUGCUGAACAAACGACUUUUUCCACCCCCAUCUGCAUGCUCCUACUACUUUUGACUAGAUGUCUUGAGAAUCUGCCAAUAUUUUUAAUUGAUCAAGUGAAAAAUACACAGGAAGUAUGCCUGUUUUUUAAUUUGUUUGUAUAUUUUCUUGAUGCGUUGCAUAAAGACCCAAAGGUGCUUUGGCUUCUGUCUGUCCUCACUGGAACUGUGGUUACUGUGGGGUGUGUGGUACUCCGUAGCACACCAUAAAUCUCCACUAGAUGUCAGCGUGUCACCAAAUGAAACCAGCACUCUCUCCUGACCUGUUACUGAAACAGCUUUUUAAUCAGAAUGCUACAGACAAGUUUUAGUAUACAGGUUAAUAAAUUAUAUUUGUCAAUGAAUAGUAAUAAAAAUAAAAUCUUUAAAAAAUUUAGUACCUUUCAUCUGAGGAUUUCAAAAUGUUUUACUUAUAUUUUGGUUUUUGCCGUAAGAGCCCCAAAGAGAUAGAGUGCAAAUAUUCAUUUUUCAUUUUACAGUAAAGUAAAGCAAGGGGACAAAAUGAUUGGCUCAAGAUCACAUAGACGAUGUCUGAAUAAAUGCAGGCUGGUAUUUCUGCCAUCACAGAAUCUACUCUACCUGUGUACUUAGAUACAGAUGCCCUUUAUUUAUCAUUUAUAUUAACUGCUUUGCCUUAAAAACAAGCUCAAGAAAAAUGGAAUAAUAGUUAACAAUUAUCGAAGAUUAUUGAUACGAUUAGUAUGGGGGUGUUUCAGAUGUAAUUUUAAGUUUUUAUAAAGACUGCACAAAGAAAAUAUGCUGAACAACCUAGAUGAAAACUUUAGAAAAUCAUAGCAAUAUUUUACCUGUGCUGUUUUACAGAUGGUGAACUCAGACCAGUGUGAGCCUUGUCUUAGCUCAUGUGCUCAAGUGCAGGAGGAAAAGCAAUUAUAAUUGGGUCUGGAAGGUUGAAGCUCUUGGGUAUGAUGGGAUUAAUGGACAUAACUGCAUAUUGUAGGUUUUUCACUGUAUAAUUUUCUUUAAGAGGAAUAUACAUAAAAUCCUGUAUAUUAAGACUUAAGUGAUUUUCUCAAAAUUGUAUAAAUACAUAAGUUACAACUGUAAAAGUUAUGUUUGUGGAUAAAGAUUAAAAAUACAUAAAUGGCAAGUUAGGGUGAUGUGACUAUGGGUAAAUUCAAUUUUCUCUUUAUGUGGUAAUAUUGUUUCUACAAUAAAUAAAAAGAGAAAACGGUUUUUAUUGUAAAAAUUCACCACAGUCCCCACUUUAGAUAGGCUUAUUUCCUAUCAGUAGAGGUGCAUUGUAUACAGCUGAAAUUCAAAAGGUAUAGUUGAGUUUAUUUCCUUCAAAUGUUUUAAUCAUAGAAACCAGGGUUAAACCGGCAGAAGUACAUAUUUUCGAACUUUACUGUGUAUUUUAGGUGAAAUAAAUGAUUGCCCAUUCCAGCAGGC